rnacentral:rRNA from 1 species
GAUGAACGCUGGCGGCGUGCCUAAUACAUGCAAGUCGAGCGAACGGACGAGAAGCUUGCUUCUCUGAUGUUAGCGGCGGACGGGUGAGUAACACGUGGAUAACCUACCUAUAAGACUGGGAUAACUUCGGGAAACCGGAGCUAAUACCGGAUGAUAUUUUGAACCGCAUGGUUCAAAAGUGAAAGACGGUCUUGCUGUCACUUAUAGAUGGAUCCGCGCUGCAUUAGCUAGUUGGUAAGGUAACGGCUUACCAAGGCAACGAUGCAUAGCCGACCUGAGAGGGUGAUCGGCCACACUGGAACUGAGACACGGUCCAGACUCCUACGGGAGGCAGCAGUAGGGAAUCUUCCGCAAUGGGCGAAAGCCUGACGGAGCAACGCCGCGUGAGUGAUGAAGGUCUUCGGAUCGUAAAACUCUGUUAUUAGGGAAGAACAUAUGUGUAAGUAACUGUGCACAUCUUGACGGUACCUAAUCAGAAAGCCACGGCUAACUACGUGCCAGCAGCCGCGGUAAUACGUAGGUGGCAAGCGUUAUCCGGAAUUAUUGGGCGUAAAGCGCGCGUAGGCGGUUUUUUAAGUCUGAUGUGAAAGCCCACGGCUCAACCGUGGAGGGCCAUUGGAAACUGGAAAACUUGAGUGCAGAAGAGGAAAGUGGAAUUCCAUGUGUAGCGGUGAAAUGCGCAGAGAUAUGGAGGAACACCAGUGGCGAAGGCGACUUUCUGGUCUGUAACUGACGCUGAUGUGCGAAAGCGUGGGGAUCAAACAGGAUUAGAUACCCUGGUAGUCCACGCCGUAAACGAUGAGUGCUAAGUGUUAGGGGGUUUCCGCCCCUUAGUGCUGCAGCUAACGCAUUAAGCACUCCGCCUGGGGAGUACGACCGCAAGGUUGAAACUCAAAGGAAUUGACGGGGACCCGCACAAGCGGUGGAGCAUGUGGUUUAAUUCGAAGCAACGCGAAGAACCUUACCAAAUCUUGACAUCCUUUGACAACUCUAGAGAUAGAGCCUUCCCCUUCGGGGGACAAAGUGACAGGUGGUGCAUGGUUGUCGUCAGCUCGUGUCGUGAGAUGUUGGGUUAAGUCCCGCAACGAGCGCAACCCUUAAGCUUAGUUGCCAUCAUUAAGUUGGGCACUCUAAGUUGACUGCCGGUGACAAACCGGAGGAAGGUGGGGAUGACGUCAAAUCAUCAUGCCCCUUAUGAUUUGGGCUACACACGUGCUACAAUGGACAAUACAAAGGGCAGCGAAACCGCGAGGUCAAGCAAAUCCCAUAAAGUUGUUCUCAGUUCGGAUUGUAGUCUGCAACUCGACUACAUGAAGCUGGAAUCGCUAGUAAUCGUAGAUCAGCAUGCUACGGUGAAUACGUUCCCGGGUCU